GGCAGAUCUCUGUGAGUUCGAGGCUGGGCUGGACUGACAGCCUCCAAAACAAUACAGAGAAACCCUGUCUCGUAAAACAAAAACAAAAACAAAAAAAAAAAGAAGGUUUUUAAAGUAUGUCUUUAUGAUUCUUGGAAUUUUCUUGGGGUCUGAUGAAAGUUGCUUUCCUCUCUAAUUUUAUUAAUUUGGAUCCUUUCUUCCUUUUGGUUAGUUAGGCGAUAGGUUCAUCAACUUUCUAAAUUCUUUCAAACUAAUUUUUUGUUUCAUUGAUUUAUUUUGUAAUUUUCAUUUCAAUUCCAUUAAUUUUGGCCAGGAUUUUAGUAAUCUCUAUCUACUUUUCUUUGUGGGAGGUGUUGAUUAUUUUUGUUUUUAGAAGGCCUUCAGAUGUAUCACUAAGUUGUUAACUUGAGGCUUCUCAAAAAAUUACAUAGGCAUAUAGUGAGUUAAGCUUUAUUCUUGUAAUUGCCUUGUUUUAUUUUAUUUUAUUCAAUUCUUAAAUUUCUUUCUUGAUUUCUUUCUUCCCUCAAUUUUGAUUCAGUAAUGUGUUGUUUAGAUUCCAUGAAUAUGUAUUCUUUAGUUGUUAAUAUCUAGCUUUAAUACAUGGUUGUCAGAUAAAAUGCAGAAUGUAAUUUCUAUUUUCCUGUAUUGGCUGAGACUAGCUUUGGGUCUUUUGAUUAUGAACACCAGCCCAAUCCCUUCUGACCAUCGUAGUCUCCAUUGAAAAAUCUGCUGUUAUUACGAUGAGCCUGCCUUUGUAUGUGACUCGGUCUUUCUUGCUGCCUGUUUUUAUUAUCUUUUGCUUGUUGCUGUUGUUCUGAACAUUUAGUGUUUUGAUGUCAUGAGGGAUUUUAAAAGAGGCUUUUCUGUUCCUCCCUGUCCUGCAGCCUCUUUUAAAAUAAUCACUCAGAGACUUAAUAUUACUUACAAAUCAUUUGGCCUGUUGCUCAUGCUUAUUACUAGUUAGCUCUUGCAACUUAAAUUAACUCAUUUCCAUUCAUCUAUAUUAUGUAUUUGUAUGUAAGAGGUGUUACCUGUUCUCUGGUACAUCUUGUUGCUCAGACAGCUCACUGGCAUCUGCCCCUGAUACCCUUCUUUUUUUUCCCCUAUAUCUCUGCUUUGAUUUCUCACCUGCCUCUAUCCUGCCUUGCUGUAGGCCAAAGAAGUUUCUCUAUUAACCAAUGGUAAUAAAUCAUAUUCACAGUAUACAGAGGGGAGUUUCUUUUCUAGUGCUGUCUGCUUGAUGCUCUGUAUUCCUGUCAGACCUUAAUAGGCACCUCUUACUUCAGAUUAAGGAAGGGUUUUUUUUUUUUUUCUGUGAUUUGGUUGCAAAAAUCUUUUCUACCCUUGACCUCUGCCUCCUCUUCUUCUGAACUUAUUUUUUACAGGUUUGGUCUUUGUAUAACAUCCAAGUUCCUGCAGUUUUGAUUUCUUGGGAUAGUUUGGAUUAGAUGUUUUCUUUCAUUGAAUGAUCUAAUUCUUCUAACUUGCCUUCAAGUCCGGAUAUCUGCUCUUCAACAUGAUCAAUCUACUGGUGAUCUUGUCUUCUGAUUUUUUUAAUUCAUGCAUAUUAUGUUUUAAAUCAUAUUCCAUUUUGCUUUACUUCAGAAGUUCUGUCCAUUAAAUUCUGUUUUCAUUUCUUGGCUUUCCAUAACUUCAGUCAACCAUGUUUUGUGGUGUUUGUUCUAGCAGUUAUUUAUAUUCUCUUAGAAUUCUUUGGCUAUUUUCAGUUUUGCUAUUUUGAAAUCAUUGUCUUGUACGACAUUUGGGUUGCUUUUCUCAGGGGACAUUACUCUGGACAUACUAAUUUUUUCAUGGAGAAUUGGCACUUUGGUUAUUCAUGUUUACCCACUUGUAAUGAGACCUAAGCAUCUUCAGUCAGGUGUCAAGUACUGGUUACUGGUAUGGAAAUCUUGCCCAGCAGGUGUUUGUAGCUUCCGUUAAUGUAUUUCAAUUUAUCACGUGGUAGGCCAGCUGUGUGAAGCUUAGGAUUCAGUCUUUGGACGAUUCAGUGUUGUUGAUGUUUCAGAGGUAUCAGAAGUAGUCCUGCCGUAGCGCAAGCUAAAUGAGGACUCUCGGGUCAUGAGUUGACACUUUUGUAGUUGAAAACUGCAGCUCUAUGUAGAAGGAAGUCUUGCCACCUUUUCCUUCUUUAUGUUCUUAGUGCUUGGCCUUACCCAUAGCAGGUGGGUUGAAUAAGUCAGCAAGCUGUGCCAAUCAAGAGGAGAAGGCCAGUGGGCAGUGUUCCUCUGCAGUCCUGCAUCAGUUCCUGUAUCCAGGUUCCUUCCCUAGUUUUGAUCAGUGAUGGAUGAACUGUGAUGAGGAAGGGUAAGCCAAUAAACCCCUUUCUACUCAAGUUGCUUUUGAUCAAUGUCUUCUCACAGCAACAGAGAAAACAACUUAGGACAUCUGGGUCCAGGGUAUUAAUUGAGUAGACAAGUAAUGAUUACGUCAUCAUCAGUAUGCUAGUAUCAUGUUAAAUUUUACCUGAGUUGUAUAUUUGACUUCUCAGGAAAGUAUCCCUAGGAAAGUACCUAAUACAUUAUUCAAAAAGAUCUUGAGGCUGAGUAAACAUAACAAUGUUUUAUAAUAGUGACAACAAACUAGCAGUGCUAUUAGAAGGGGUGUGCCCUCCCUUCACGUACUGAAAUUCAGAUGUCCACUGACUUGACAUCAAGAGUUGUGGCCUUUGAGACAUGAGUAGCUCAUGGGGAGGAACCCCUAUAAGUGGAAUUAGUGCCCUUAUAAAAGUGCACAGAAGAAUUCUUGUCAUUCUACCAUCUGAAGUCACAACAUCCAUGAGUCAAAUGAUAUCAAAUUUGCCACUUCAAUUAUUUUGGACAUUUUAUUGUUUAUAAGCCACCCAGCUUAUGAUAAAUUUUAUGGCAACAUAAAUGUACUAAAACAAUUGGUGUAAACAUACCAUAAUUACAUAGUUCUGAAGAGCAGAGGUUCAGAAUGAAUUGUAUUGGGCCAAAAUGAAUACUAGGUCCGUCUUUCUUUUGGACUCUGUUUACUGGCUUUGACAGUCCCUAGAAGCCAUUUGUUUUCCAUGGCAACAGUCUCUUACCCCACAUUCAGAGUCAACAGAGCAGCACCCUCAGUUUUCUCUCUGUCAAUAAUGUUCCCAUCUUCUCUAAUGAGGAAUUCCAGGAUUGGGUUAGGCUACCUGCUUAACCUGGAAAGAGUCCUUCAUCUGAAGAUCUUUAAUUUAACCUCAUUUGCAAGAACCUUUGUGAUGUGAGGUAACACGCACAAAAAUGUGGGAGAUUAGCACAAGUGUGUCUUUGGAGCUACUAUUCUGUUUCUUAUGUCUAUUGAAUUUAAAUAACUAUCAGGCUUCAAGGGCCAUAUGGAAGACAGGCUUGUUUUGCUACAAAGCAUGUUGCUUUUUGUCUUAUAAUACAGUGUUUUAUGAUCUUGACUCAUUUGAUAUUUCUACCACCCAUCUUAUUAUCAAAGGCAUAGGUUCCAAGAACAGUGAGACAGAGGAAAACUGGGAGGUUCCCAGCAGAUCAUUUGUCUAUGACUUCUGUCACUUAUGGAAGAACUAAGACAUAUUAACACUUCCCCAAGAACUCCUCAGUAGGGUGAAACUACUGCUCUCUGCCUUCUUGGCAGAACUGCAGCUUCUACUGAACUGUAUUAUUACCGUGUCUAGAGCACAGUGAGCAGCAGUAAGCUGUAGUAUUCUGCUGUCCCAACAGAAGGUUGUCAAUUGUUCUGGCUCUCUGUUAGAGGAUUAUUUUUCUCUCAGGGGUGGACAGAUAUGAGCUGUCAGUCAAUGCACAGGUUGGCUCCCUUUAUGGUAUUUGGAACCACAGUGUAAUUGUCACUAAACAUUGAGCUGAACUGUCGUCCCAGCAGCGGAAACCUACGGGAUGAUCAGGAACUUGGGUAUAGUAGGUGUGUGUGUCCAGGCAGGGGGGGUGGUCGAACUAACUUGUAGCCUCCCAUGAAGGUCCACUAGAGAAGUAGAAUUUUGAAGUAAAGGCUACUGGAAACUCUUGUGAAGUAUCCACCAGAGAACACUGCUCGGACAUGUGUUUAAACCAAUAGGAAGUCUUUAUUAUCUGGCUGGAGACUACACUGACUAUUCAGGAUGCCAGUGUACCACCAAGCCUUUCUCAGGGUGAGUUUUUAAGGCCAAAAACCAUAUCCUGGGUUGAUACUCUCCAGUUAACAGGAACAGUUAGCCAGAAGCAGAAGUAUAGAAGCCAAAGCAACAACAUAAAAAAACAAGGUUAGUAUAUUUAGGGACCUUCCCAGAACUGUGAACUCUGAUGGAUUAGGUCUUUGUUUUCAUUUUGGCAUGUGGUGCUGCCUACAUGCUGAGUUUUAUGUCCUGAGUGGUACUUCUAUCAUGACAUCAGUUGUGCUAAGUUCUGGGGGCCUGAUAUAGAAACCUAGUAAUUGAAAACUAGUGUGAGAAUUGAUAAUGAUAGGUUUCAAUGCCAAUUGAUCCUUGCAGAAGGGAGCAGUACUGAUGCAGAGUACCCAUCAUACUGGUGUGCAAGGAGCCAAGACAGGGAACACUAUGCACAAUGAUAGGACAAACAUGAAUGGAUCUAACAGGAGCAACAGAAGUCUGGGGGUGGGGGGGGGGAGAGAGGGCAGCAAGGAAGACCAUGAUAUUUGGAGAGAUUGUAGUCAUCAUAUUAUCAAAAGAAAACAGCAAGCAAGACAAGAGAUGUCUGUGUUAGGGAAACAGAGUAACCUUUCAGGCAUCCAUGGGACUGGAGCACAUUUCAAACUGUUGUCUCUUCCCUGUGGAUGUUGACUAGAACAGGAGUUGUGGUAAGCAGCUGUGUCACAGAACAAAACUUUCCCACCUUUUGAGAAAUAACUUCUGUUUUGGUUGCCUACUUGCUUAGCUUAGUUAUGGCAUUUCAAAAUAUUAUAACAUUAACUUCUUUUUAUUUCAGGUGUCUAUUUUUGGUUAGCCAUAAAUCAGUGAGCUAAAUUAUGACAGUCCAUACAUUUCACGAAUGUAGAUUUUCAUGCAUGAAGAUUUCCAUGCAUGUAGGUUUUCACGCAUGUAGAUUUCCAUGCAUGUAGGUUUUCACGCAUGUAGAUCUCCAUGCAUGUAGACCAUUGUGCUUUGCUCUAUUCACACCCUAUCACCCUCCCUUCACCUUCUCCUGGCUGAUCCCUCAACAAUAUUAUACAUUGAAAGGUAGAUUGUUCAUAUGGUAGAAAGUGUGAUACUGUAUUGGGUUUUUGUUGUUGUUUCUUUUCUCUUUUAUAUUUCUAUGGCAGAAUAAGAGUUUUGAGUUUCCUAAGCUAGUUUUAUUAUUUGCUUUCCUUGGCCAUUAGUUGCUUUUGAGAGAACAUUUCAGUGUACAUUUUCUGUUUUUCCUUGUGGCUACCAGGAACAGGAAAGAAUUGCUAUAAUACAGCCGUACUCUGAAGGAUUCUGUGGAAUUUAACAUGUUCCAGGACAUAGUGAUACCAUGGUUGGAGACUGUGGUGGACUGGUCAUCAAGAUUACCAUAGGAAAUAACCCAGUUGGCCAAGGGAAAGAAAAGAAAACCUGGGAACUCACUCACGGUUACAAAAUAAAGCAUGUGAGAAAAGGGGCCUGGGGAAUCCUGUGGGGCAGAUGGGUGCUGUGUGUAAAUGACUUGUAAAUGUCAUGGUGCUGAGGCAAAUGAUUUGUAAAUGUCAUGGUGCUGGGACAAAUGACUUGUAAAUGUCAUGGUACUAGGGCAGGACUUUGUCAUCACCAGGCUCCAGCACAGAGCACCUUUCUCUUAUUUAAUAAACUGCCUCUGUCUCUACCACUA